GAAGGAUGCAGUGCAAGGCUACAGUAUUGGCGGCAAGAUAGACAUCAGUAAUUGCAAGUAAGAAGUUCAACGAGUUCCUGAAGCUAAAUGGGAUACUGCAUCAAAGGACAAAUCCUUAUACUCCUGAACAAGAUGGAUUAUGUGAACGGCAGAAUCGUGUGGUCUGUGAGAAAGCUAGAUGCUUAUUAUUUGAUGCUGAGCUACCCACAGAGUUCUGGGCAGAAGCGUGUAAUUGUGCAGUUUACUUAAGGAACCGGACAAUAGCUUCAGGUUUGAACAACAAAACUCCUUUUGAAAUGUGGACAGGGACACAGCCAGACCUGAGCCAUCUAAGGAUUUUCGGCAGUACUGUCAUGGUCCACAUUCCCAAAGAGAAAAGGUUGAAGUG